UGAUUGCACUCCCUUUCUUGUGAUAUUGCUUAACGGACGUUCAUCACAUUAUCUAGCUACAUAAGGGAGGCCUAUAAUUAAAAAGUCAAAGACGGUCCAAAUCUUUGAGUCAUUUAACAACACCAUGAAUGAAGAUGGAAUGGAUGACACAUAUCCAGGCAUGGAUCAUAUAUCAACCGCAGUAUUAAAAUCUGCUAAUAUAAGCACAAACAUGCUGCCCAGCCUUUCUAAGGAGGAUUUACAGUGAUUUCUUUCCCAGGCCAGAGCACUUCUUCAGAAGGAGAACCAUUUGGAGAUUUACUCAUGGUGAAAAUGAGGGUCAAGAAUCAGACCUGUGAAGACCAGGCACCUCCUCUGGGACCUUUCUUCAGGCGAGACCACUCUUCAGCCCUGUCGUGAUUGUCUGCGAAC